AAAAAAGGCACUUUUUUAAGCACAAUUAUUCGGACACAAUUUAGAUUUUACGAAAAAAACUUAUUUAACCUGAAUUUUUCAGCUUUCAAUAUUUGGUGGGGCCGCCCUUAGCUCCAAUAACAACUAGACGUCUAGGCAUACUUUUUACCAAAUUAUUGUUUUGAUUGGGAUAAAUUUUCUCCCAUUCCUUCAUCAGAGCCGUUUUAAUGGUUUCCUUGGAGGAAAUUUUAUGUUUUCUAAUUUUUUUUCCAGCAAAUCCCCAUAGAGUGGAUCAGAUCUGAUGACUGCUGCGGCGUUUUUAACUGCUUGCAGUGAUACAACAGCCAUUCUUGAACCAAAUACGAGAAAAGGCAAUGGAAAACAAAAAUACCGCCCGUAAUGGUGCCAUUAUAAUAACAAGUCAGUAUAUGGAGAGCUCAUUUGCCACGGAGGAAACUGAUCCACUGCUUUGGAAAAAAGUCAACGAAAAUUAUGUUCAAAUAUUAAUGCGUAUCUGUUACACUUGGCUUGUUUCCCAGAGGGCAACGCCGGCUAGCUGUCGACCCCAAGGCUGGGUAGUUCCCUUGCCCGCCAAAUGUAGACAAAGAUGGAGACAUACUACUCCUCGGGACAUCAAAACUAACAACAACCAAAAUACAAAGAAAAUCAUAAACAGACGGCUAUCAAGUGGGUGAAGCUUGGGUGUUAUCACUUCGCGCGCCCGCCCUACCUGUGAUCAACCACAACAUUCAUUUGUCCACCCUCUGCUGGAACGGCUGCGGCUGGCCCAAUCCAUGGCUUACGCCACGCGUCCUCCCUCUAUUGUAAUUUACUCCAUCAUGUUUCAAUAUAUAUCCAAGCUUUAGUAAUUAUAAGUUGACAAUUUCAUCUUUCUCAUAAAUAAAUAGAAACACCAAAACGUUCGACACAAAGGCAAACAAGGAAAUAACAGCUGAAAUUUCGUUCAACCAUACGUAAUGGAACAUGUGUACAUGACUGGAUCCAGUUUUACGGGAGUUAAUUAAACUCGGGCCCAUACGGAGAUUAACCUACCAAGAGCUCUUGUUAAGGGUCCCCGGGACAUAAACAAUAAGGAGAUUUCCACAAAUCGCUCGACCAAAUACGGUGGACUGACGGGACCCCCGCGUCACCCACUAAGGGUUAAUCUGCUGGAACUGAACAGCUGAUUGCAGAUUUCGGUUCGUGAAAGGUGUUGGUGUUUUUACAUAUUUAGUUCAAUGGCCAAGAUUUUAUGUUAAACUGU